AGCGAACGCUGGCGGCAGGCUUAACACAUGCAAGUCGAACGGGCACUUCGGUGCUAGUGGCCGACGGGUGAGUAACACGUGGGAACGUACCUUUCGGUUCGGAAUAAUCCAGGGAAACUUGGACUAAUACCGGAUACGCCCUUCGGGGGAAAGAUUCAUCGCCGAUAGAUCGGCCCGCGUCUGAUUAGCUAGUUGGUGAGGUAAUGGCUCACCAAGGCGACGAUCAGUAGCUGGUCUGAGAGGAUGAUCAGCCACAUUGGGACUGAGGCACGGCCCAAACUCCUACGGGAGGCAGCAGUGGGGAAUAUUGGACAAUGGGCGCAAGCCUGAUCCAGCCAUGCCGCGUGAGUGAUGAAGGCCUUAGGGUUGUAAAGCUCUUUUGUCCGGGAAGAUAAUGACUGUACCGGAAGAAUAAGCCCCGGCUAACUUCGUG
rnacentral:rRNA from 1 species